rnacentral:rRNA from 1 species
CCUACGGGGGGCAGCAGUAGGGAAUUUUCGUCAAUGGGCGCAAGCCUGAACGAGCGAUGCCGCGUGAGUGAAGAAGGCCUUCGGGUCGUAAAGCUCUGUUGCGGGGGAAAAAAGGCAGCAUCAGGAAAUGGGUGCUGACUGAUGGUGCCCCGCCAGAAAGUCACGGCUAACUACGUGCCAGCAGCCGCGGUAAUACGUAGGUGGCGAGCGUUAUCCGGAAUGAUUGGGCGUAAAGGGUGCGCAGGCGGUCCUGCAAGUCUGGAGUGAAACGCAUGAGCUCAACUCAUGCAUGGCUUUGGAAACUGGAGGACUGGAGAGCAGGAGAGGGCGGUGGAACUCCAUGUGUAGCGGUGAAAUGCUUAGAUAUCACGAAGAACCCCGAUUGCGAAGGCAGCUUACUAAACUGUGACUGACAUUGAUGCUCGAAAGUGUGGGUAUCAAACAGGAUUAGAUACCCGAGUAGUC